AACUUUAAUCUGCUUGUCUGCUGAUGGGUUGGGCUGAGUUCCUUCCCUGUUGGUUGUUUGGCCUGAGGCAACCCAACACUGGGGCCUACCCGGGUUCUUUGCUGUGGCUAAUGGUGGACUCCGGGAGGGCUCACGCCAAGGAGCACUUCCCAAAACUUCUGCUGCCAAUGUCCUUGUCCUCACAGUGAGACACAGCCACCCCCCGCCUCUGCAGGAGAUCCUCCAACACUAGCAGAGUAAGAGCCUCAUUGUAGAAGAAAAAGUCAAGUGGGAUCCUCUGAAACUACCCACCUCCCCAUCCAGCCAAGAUAGUAAAUAAAAAAACCAAGUCAUAUCUCAGAGGAGCAUGGAAGAGAUUAGAGCCAUCUUCAAAGCUUUAAAGGAUGCAGGGAUGGUAACUCCCAUUUACUUAUUCUGGCAUCUAUGAAAACCAGAUGGUGGAUGAUCAUGCAUUACUUAACUGUAACAAAGGAGUAGCCCCAAUUGCAGAUGCUGGGCUGGAUGUGGGACCUUUACUAAAGAAGAUUAACAGAGCCUCAAGUAUGUAGUGUUCAUUUGAUCUGGAUCCAUACUAUUUGGGCAUUUCACAAAAAUUACAUUGGUCCAUCAUUUUGAGGAAACAUGUUAAUGAGCAAAAUGUGCCAUGUUCCCCUGAUGCCUUGAUGAGACAUACAGAAUUCCAGAGGGUGAGAAGCCAACCCUAGAAAGAUCCAGAGGCCUGCCAGAUUAGCAUCGGUCAUGCAGGGCUAUCCCCUCCCAAGUACAAGCAAAAUGAAGAAAGGAAGAGGAAAUAAUUACGUUCUGCAUAAUAAUUAUGUUUUGGAAAGCCGCGUUAUAAAAUCACAAAAGAUUUGAAGAGAGGGUGAUACAGAUUUCUUCAGAUAAGGUUUUCCAUUUUUGGUCUUAAUAAAAUAAUUGAUGCCUGGCCUUCUGUUCCUGAUCUAAGAAGUUCUAGGUUCCCUUAAUUUCAAAAUGAUUACGCAAGACCCUCUCCAUUCCCAGAACCUUCUCAUGCUCACCAAAUUCUCUUUCUCGGAUACUCCCGUGCUGUCCCAUUAACAUCUCAAAUCCCAUUUCUCAGAUACCCCAGGAAAACAACAACAGAGAGAAGCCUUGUAAGGGAAUGGCUAAGAGCAUGGACCCUUAUGCUAGGCUAGCUCUACCACUUACUACCUGUAUAACAUUGGGCAAGUUGGCUAAGCUCUCUGUGCUUCAUUUUCCCAUCUGUAAAAUGGGGAUAGUAACAGUAUGUACCUCAUAGAGUUAUUAGGAGGAUUAAGUGAUUUAAUCUUUCUAAAGUACUUAGAAUAGUAGGAGUAGGUAUUAUAUGAGUGUUGUUAAAUAAAAUUUUAUCUAAUAAAGUUUAAUCCUGAUUUUUACUUUUUCUCUCCAAAAUCAGAAGGAUUUCUAUCCCAUAAAUCCAGUAGAAGAAAUUGUUAGUAAUUUUUAAUGCCUUUUAUAUAAAUAAAGUAUCUAAUAAAUAUCUUUAUCACAGAUUAUAAACAAACUAGAUGUCCAACAAUAUACAAAUUGCUAAAACUUCAGAUAUUUAAGUGACAUAAUCUAUUUUCAAUAUGUUUAAGUGAAAAAAAGUAGGUUACAUAAAAAUAAUAUGUAUUAUGAUUCCAUUUUUUAAUUGAAACAAUAUGCAUCAUAUACAAAGGCCAAAAAGAGUCUGAACAGACAGACAACAAAAUGUUUGUAAUGGUUAUUUUUUGGUGAUGAAAUGAUGGAUGUUUUUUUAUUUUCUUCUUUUUGAAAAUCUGGAUCAUCUAAAUUAUCUCCAAGAAUCUUAAUUACUUAUUAAUAAAGGGAAACUAAAAAUUAAUAAUAAAAAUAUAGUUUAUGAUUGUGGAAAUUUAUUUUCUCUCCAUGGGAAUCUCUAAGGAAAGUGGAGAAAUAUAUUAAAUUCCUCUAAUUUAAUUCAAUAACAGCUUCCAUAAACUGGACAUUUAUUUAUUUAUUUAUUUAUUUAUUUUAUUUUUUGGCAGCACAACACAGCUUGCAGGAUCUUAGUUCCCUGACCAGGGGUCAAACCCUGGC